AUUGAACGCUGGCGGCAGGCUUAACACAUGCAAGUCGAGCGGGGGAAAGUACUUCGGUACUGACCUUAGCUGCGGACGGGUGAGUAAUACUUAGGAACCUGCCUAUUAGUGGGGGACAACAUCUCGAAAGGGAUGCUUAUACCGCAUACGACCUACGGGAGAAAGCAGGGGAACUUAAUGACCUUGCGCUAAUAACUGAGCCUAAGUCGGAUUAGCUAGUUGGUGGGGUAAAGGCCUACCAAGGCGACGAUCUGUAGCGGGCCUGAGAGGAUGAUCCGCCACACUGGGACUGAGACACGGCCCAGACUCCUACGGGAGGCAGCAGCGGGGAAUAUUGGACAAUGGGGGGAACCCUGAUCCAGCCAUGCCGCGUGUGUGAAGAAGGCCUUAUGGUUGUAAAGCACUUUAAGCGAGGAGGAGGCUCUUUUGGUUAAUACCCAAGAUGAGUGGACGUUACUCGCAGAAUAAGCACCGGCUAACUCUGUGCCAGCCGCCGCCGUAA
rnacentral:rRNA from 1 species